AUAGCUCAGUGGUAGAGCAUUUAACUGUAGAUCAAGAGGUCCCUGGAUCAACUCUGGGU
rfam:Homo sapiens chromosome 7, GRCh38 reference primary assembly.